AUUGAACGCUGGCGGCAUGCUUUACACAUGCAAGUCGAACGGUAACAGGCCUUCGGGCGCUGACGAGUGGCGAACGGGUGAGUAAUGCAUCGGAACGUGCCCAGUCGUGGGGGAUAACGCAGCGAAAGCUGUGCUAAUACCGCAUACGAUCUGUGGAUGAAAGCGGGGGACCUUCGGGCCUCGCGCGGUUGGAGCGGUCGAUGUCAGAUUAGGUAGUUGGUGGGGUAAAGGCUCACCAAGUCAACGAUCUGUAGUUGGUCUGUGAGGACCACCAGCCACACUGGGACUAAGACACGGCGCAGACUCCAACGGGAGGCAGCAGGGGGGAAUUUUGGACACUGGGCGCGAGCCUGAUCCAGCAAUGCCGCGUGCAGGAAGAAGGCCUUCGGGUUGUAAACUGCUUUUGUACGGAACGAAACGGUCCUGGUUAAUACCUGGGGCUAAUGACGGUACCGUAAGAAUAAGCACCGGCUAACUACGUGCCAGCAGCCGCCGUAAGAC
rnacentral:rRNA from 1 species